UACGUAGGGUCCGAGCGUUAAUCGGAAUUACUGGGCGUAAAGCGUGCGCAGGCGGUUUUGUAAGCCAGAUGUGAAAGCCCCGGGCUCAACCUGGGAACUGCAUUUGGGACUUGCAAAGCUGGAGUACGGCAGAGGGAGGUGGAAUUCCACGUGUAGCAGUGAAAUGCGUAGAGAUGUGGAGGAACACCGAUGGCGAAGGCAGCCUCCUGGGCUAGUACUGACGCUCAUGCACGAAAGCGUGGGGAGCAAACAGG
rnacentral:rRNA from 1 species